rnacentral:rRNA from 1 species
UAAGCCUGUGAAGGUGUGUCGUGAGGCAUGCUGGAGGUAUCAGAAGUGCGAAUGCUGACAUAAGUAACGAUAAAGCGGGUGAAAAGCCCGCUCGCCGGAAGACCAAGGGUUCCUGUCCAACGUUAAUCGGGGCAGGGUGAGUCGACCCCUAAGGCGAGGCCGAAAGGCGUAGUCGAUGGGAAACGGGUUAAUAUUCCCGUACUUGGUGUUACUGCGAAGGGGGGACGGAGAAGGCUAUGUUGGCCGGGCGACGGUUGUCCCGGUUUAAGCGUGUAGGUGUGUGUUCCAGGUAAAUCCGGUUCACUUUAACACUGAGGCGUGACGACGAGGCACUACGGUGCUGAAGCAACAAAUGCCCUGCUUCCAGGAAAAGCCUCUAAGCAUCAGGUAACAUCAAAUCGUACCCCAAACCGACACAGGUGGUCAGGUAGAGAAUACCAAGGCGCUUGAGAGAACUCGGGUGAAGGAACUAGGCAAAAUGGUGCCGUAACUUCGGGAGAAGGCACGCUGACACGUAGGUGAAGUGAUUUACUCAUGGAGCUGAAGUCAGUCGAAGAUACCAGCUGGCUGCAACUGUUUAUUAAAAACACAGCACUGUGCAAACACGAAAGUGGACGUAUACGGUGUGACGCCUGCCCGGUGCCGGAAGGUUAAUUGAUGGGGUCAGCGCAAGCGAAGCUCCUGAUCGAAGCCCCGGUAAACGGCGGCCGUAACUAUAACGGUCCUAAGGUAGCGAAAUUCCUUGUCGGGUAAGUUCCGACCUGCACGAAUGGCGUAAUGAUGGCCAGGCUGUCUCCACCCGAGACUCAGUGAAAUUGAACUCGCUGUGAAGAUGCAGUGUACCCGCGGCAAGACGGAAAGACCCCGUGAACCUUUACUAUAGCUUGACACUGAACAUUGAGCCUUG